rnacentral:lncRNA from 1 species
AGGCCCUGGAGAGAAUCUUACAAUAUCAGAAGUGGGAUUCACAUAGCGCUUCCCGUGACCCUCCAGGAAUAUCAAGUGACCCAGCAAGACCUGACACCUAAUGAAUGUGUGAAUAGAAAACACCUAGAUGCUCAGAAGAAUGGGUAGUGAAAUAUUCGUAUUCAUAUACCAAUCAGAGAGUUUUGGCUGAUCACAGGCUGCCAACUGUUCAAACCACAUUCAAAUAAGGGCUGUGACCGUCUACGACAAGCUGGCAUCUUUCUUUAAAGAGGCACCUCUGGACCUGCAGCACCGGCUCCUCAUGAAGCUCAGAACCUGAGGACCCAGCCAUGGAGCGGUCAGCCUUCAUGGAGCAGGAUGCUGGGAGCGGGCUGGUGAUGCGUCUCCAUGAGCGGCCAGCCCUGCUGGUCAGCAGCACACCUGGACAGGUCUGCACGACCCCUGGGGCACUUGGGGCUGGUGUGACGGGCACCUGGCCAACCUGUGUUCUCCUUACCCCUACCAGUCCUGGAUGCCCCCACCCCGCCACGGUCUCAAUGAGAAGGGGAGGGUGUGUGAGCUGGAAGAGUGCUGUCUAGAAACAGGCCCCUGACAUUCAAUUCUCUUCUCAUAGAGGACGAAGACUUCUCUAUCCUGCUGGCAGCUUUAGAAAGUAGGUGUGUGGCUGCGGUGAGGAGCUCUGGGCUUGUCCGGGCCACUGAGCUGUGAGCUGCUUGCCUGGCCUGCAACAUGUUCCUGUCCUGGGCUACUGGGUGGGGCAGCCUGGGGACAGUAGGGGUGGUGGAGGUGGGCCUCCCUGAAUCCCCAUUUGGGUCAUUGAGUGACCAGGCCCUUAGGCUGAAAUGCGCCCUCCAGGAGAGUAUCUCACAGAGGCUGGGGGCCUCCCUGCCAGAGCAGUGCACUUUCUCCACCUGACCAGGGGACUCUGGCUAUUGUUUAUUUAAAAAUUUUUUUCUGAAUGGGCAUGGUGGCUCACACCUGUAAUCCUAGAACUCUGGGAGGCCGAGGCAGGCAGAUCACCUGAGGUCCGGAGUUCGAGACCAACCUGGCCAACAGGGCGAAAAGUGUCUCUACUAAAAAUACAAAACUUAGCUAGGUAUGGUGGUGGGCACCUGUAAUCCCAGCUACUUGGGAGGCUGACGCACUAGAAUUACUUCAACCUGGGAGGCAGAGGUUGCAGUGAGCUGAGAUCACGCCAUUGCAUUCCAGCCUGGGUGACAGAGCGAGAGUCUGUCAGGAAAAAAAAAAAAAAAAAAUUCUAUCAGAAAUUCCA